UUAUGCAUGGGUUAGUGGUUUGAGCGUUGGACUACAACUCUGGAGACCAGGGUUCGAAUCCCUGCUUGGCUGUGAAAA